UUUCUGACGCCGUGUUGAUUUUUCCAAAGCAUUACUAAUAGCCAAUAAAACCCUUCCGCUUGCAAAAAAGAAUCAGACGUGAAUUAAGUGGGUAUAUUACCACAUGUAGUAGUUUCAUGUGCUACUGACAAGGACUAAGAGGGUUGAACUACAGAAUAAGGCCAUGCCUUUCGCCACCAGCCUCCUCCUCAACACAACAAACUUGGGGACUUGUUGAAGGUCACUCUCUGCUGGCGGAAACGUUGGUAGUGAAACAGCCAACGCAUCGUGACGCAGCACCCACCACUGCAAGCCAUGUCGACAGCUUCGCCCAUUGAUCAUAAGUUCCAACGGACAACCAGUUCUAUUCACGUAUAUAAGGUCGGGCAGGCAGUUCUCCAGGCCAUUGUGCCCCGCUUCACCACAAGGCACACAUCCUGGGCUGGAAUAUCCCAGUGUGCUCACCUCUCCGAGUCACACACACUUGGCAGCACACUGGAGGAAGGUGAUACAAGUCACGCAUUAGAGGAGGAGGACAGUGACGAAGCACGGCGUUCAGCACAAGGGAAGAUCUGGAGUGAGUGUCCUGCCUCGCAUAGUGAACGUGUGGAACGUGGAAGCAUCCUAGUGUGUCGCCUGCUUGGCCGUCUUCAGUUCGCCUCCAGGAGCCGCUAAUCCUGACGGAGCGCGCCAGGCAAGGAGUGUACAAAGUAGCGGUGACCUCAUCCAUCUAGAGGGCACCGAGACAUCAGGUCAAGAAUGGCGCGCGGGAUGGGCGAGGUGGACGAGGAUGUCGUGUCUGAGGUGGACGGUAAAUGGCAGUACCAGCCCAACACAGCAAGCAAUAGUAGCGACUCCAUUACCGACACAGCUACCAACGCCGCAGCCGCAGCCACCCUUGUCUCCACCACGCCGCCACGCAUCCUCACCCCCACCGCCUGAGGGACCUCCACAUCCACCAGCAUCACCACCGCCACCAACUACCACCUUUACUUCCGGAGGCCGUGACCCUUCUGUCUUCUGUCAAGCAACUCCCUGAAUGUGUGUGUGUGUGUGUGUGUGUGAGAGAGAGAGAGAGAGAGAGAGAGAGAGAGAGAGAGAGAGAGAGAGAGAGAGAAAUUGCUCCUGACGCAGAGAUAUUCUGCAAGCAUUACUGGUUCAGUGAGUGGUGUUGCGGAAUGACGCAGAUAGUGACAGUGACAGUGACUCAGCGGGGGCCGAGUGGGAGUGCCGGUGAGCCCACACUAACCCACAUGUGAACAUCCUCGGCAGGCGGCCCGCUCCUCUACGGAAGGUGACCUGCCCCAAUAAGAGCCUCGCGUGCCACCACUCUCGCCGUGCCUCCCAUCACUCUUCGCUGCACUUUUUUUUUUUUUUUUUUUUUUUUUGUCACCUGGCGUGUUUAUCGUUUUCAUUUCCAAUCUUUUACAAUUGUAGUUUUCAUGAAGUAUGUACUUGGACGUGAAAUUAUUAAACUAAGAACAUAAA